GGAAGCCAGACAGAAACAGCUCCCACUUGACAAGUCCAGGAGAGAAUUUAGGAAAGCAGUUCUUAGUACAGCGGGACAUAGACUUGGGUAAGGACCAGCGUUCAACAAGGAGUGACUGGAAAAAAGUGUUCAGUGUUUUAAACAUUGCCAAUCGGAGUAACAUGAAGCUGAACUUGUUAUUUUAGCUGAGCUCUACAUAGUUUUCAUCCUGGAAUUGACUACUAUAUAUAGUAGAGUGUUAUUCAUGCACUUGAACUGAUUAUGUGUGUCGGACUGAAAUGUCCCAGUGGUGCCACAAAGGAAAAGAACAUGGUAAUCUUCCGUGGAUUCCGUUUUCCAGAUGCACAGCAGCAGAAGACCCACUGAGAUCAGCCACGGACUAAGGUGCCUGCAAUCAGACCUUGGCCGGGCUGCCGCUGCGUGAAGCUGUGGUGGGCUCACUCACAACAGGUGACUGGGAGCCCGAAGGUGACCCCCAGUUGUCACACACCUCUCAUGUGGUGCUGACUUUCCGCAGCGGAAGUGCCCAAGAGAAUGAGAGGGAAGCUGCAGAAGCCCCACACCAUCACUUCCCGUGGUCCAUGGGGACAGCAGUCACAGGUUAUCACUGUGUAGCCCAGGAUGACAUCGAACUCCCAGCGAUCCUCCUGCCCCAGCCCCCAGUGCUGGGAUUACAGAGAGCCUGACACUAUCAGGACCAUCACUUAGGGUCUGCACAGCUAAACAAACACACCGAGUCUCAGCCCUGACCCCUCAGUCACCAGUUCAUGAUGUUCUUAGCAGGCUCCUUCCUGGACUGCAGCCUUCUCAUAGGCAGUGUCCUCUACCAAGUGGAUGUCCACGGGAUGAUCUAGGUCAGGAACCUGGGAUCGCCUAAGUCUCUUUCUUUCUCUCACUAAAAUGAAGAAAACACAGACAAGCAUGGUAGCGCACACCUGUGAUCCCAGCACUUAAGAGGCUGAUGCACGAGGAUCGCCCUGAGUUGGAGGCCAGCCUGGACUACAUAGUGAGACCCUGUCUCACAAACAACUGCCAAAAUAUAAACAAAUAAGGAACAAAGAAAGAAAGAAACAAAGAGAAAAAAGAAAAUGUGUUGAGCAUUUAUGGUACCAGAGACUGUUUGAAGCACAUGGAUAUCACCAAUCUUCACCACUCCCUGUGCUUUAGCUACCAAGAUUUUCCCCCUUGUACUGAUGUUGAGACUGAAGCCGACAAGUUAAGUAACCUGGCCCCAAGUCACACCCCUAGGAAGUGCAGUGCAGUCUGAGCCAUGGCCUAUGAGUGAACAACUACCUCAGUCCAUCUUGGCUGCUAUAACAAAAUAUCACAGAGAGAGUAAUCUAGAAAUAACAAAUUUAUGACUCACAGUUCUAGAGGCUGGGAAGUCCAAGUUCAAGGCACCAGCAGAUUUGGUGUCUGGUGAAGUCUCCCUGUCUGCUUCCAAGAUGGCACCUGUGGCUGCAUCUUCACUUGGCAGAAGGCGGAAGGGCAAGAGGGCUGGGGUGCUCCCUUCAACCUUUGUCUUUGCUUUUUUUGUUUGUUUUCUGCAGUGCUGGGGAUCAAACCUAGGGCCUCCCACAUGCUAAGCAAGCGCUCUGCCACUGACCUGCAUACCCAACCCUUCAACCUCCUUUACAAGGUUACUAAUCCCAUUCAUGAAGAGUUUCAUAAUUUAAUCGCUCCCCAAGGCUGCAC
ensembl:lncRNA